UACGUAGGUGACCAGCGUUGUCCGGAUUUAUUGGGCGUAAAGAGCGUGUAGGCGGCCAGGUAGGUCUGCUGUGAAAACUCGAGGCUUAACCUCGAGCUGUCGGCGGAAACCAUCUGGCUAGAGUCCGGAAGAGGAGAAUGGAAUUCCCGGUGUAGCGGUGAAAUGCGCAGAUAUCGGGAAGAACACCCGUGGCGAAGGCGGCUCUCUGGGACGGUACUGACGCUGAGACGCGAAAGCGUGGGGAGCGAACAGG
rnacentral:rRNA from 1 species